rnacentral:rRNA from 1 species
UAAGGAAUAUUGGUCAAUGGACGAAAGUCUGAACCAGCCAUGCCGCGUGGAGGAUGAAGGUCCUCUGGAUUGUAAACUUCUUUUAUCUGGGACGAAAAAAGGGUUUUCUAACUCGUCUGACGGUACCAGAUGAAUAAGCACCGGCUAACUCCGUGCCAGCAGCCGCGGUAAUACGGAGGGUGCAAGCGUUAUCCGGAUUCACUGGGUUUAAAGGGUGCGUAGGCGGGCAGAUAAGUCAGUGGUGAAAUACCUGAGCUUAACUUGGGAACUGCCAUUGAUACUAUUUGUCUUGAAUGUUGUGGAGGUUAGCGGAAUAUGUCAUGUAGCGGUGAAAUGCUUAGAGAUGACAUAGAACACCUAUUGCGAAGGCAGCUAACUACGCAAAUAUUGACGCUGAGGCACGAAAGCGUGGGGAUCAAACAG